rnacentral:tRNA from 1 species
GGCGAAGUGGCCGAGUGGUUAGGCAGAGGUCUGCAAAACCUUCUACAGCGGUUCGAGUCCGCUCUUCGCCUCCA